UUUAGCUGUAGGCUCAACAAGUUUACAAUCAACUGACCAAAAUCCGAAACAUUUCCAGACAUAACUCUUUAGAUUUUUGGGGGUUACAAUCACUUUCUCUGCUGCGGUCAAGCUGGGUUCUGCACCUUCUGCCAUCUUCCACGCAAGUCAACUGUUGCUGUGCCAGACAGUGCAACUCCUGUGACCUGUCCCUUACCUCAGGCGCGCGCCCACCCGCAAAGUAGACAGUCGCGCCACUGCUGCCGCUAUUGUUUUUUUUUUUUUUUUUACAUUCGAAUAUUAAUUUUCACAUUCGAAAUUCAGUUUUUAA